rnacentral:rRNA from 1 species
CAGUCGCCGCGGGAAUACAGAGGGUGCAAGCGUUAAUCGGAAUUACUGGGCGUAAAGCGCGCGUAGGUGGUUUGUUAAGUUGGAUGUGAAAGCCCCGGGCUCAACCUGGGAACUGCAUCCAAAACUGGCAAGCUAGAGUACGGUAGAGGGUGGUGGAAUUUCCUGUGUAGCGGUGAAAUGCGUAGAUAUAGGAAGGAACACCAGUGGCGAAGGCGACCACCUGGACUGAUACUGACACUGAGGUGCGAAAGCGUGGGGAGCAAACAGGAUUAGAGACCCGUGUAGUCCCUGUCUCUUAUAC